rnacentral:snRNA from 1 species
GUACUCGCUUCGGUGAUACAUAUACUAAAAUUGGAACGAUACAGAGAAGAUUAGCAUAGCCCCUGUGCAAGGAUGACACGCAAAAUCGUGAAGCGUUCCACAUUUUU